rnacentral:rRNA from 1 species
UACGGAGGAUGCGAGCGUUAUCCGGAUUUAUUGGGCGUAAAGCGAGCGCAGGUGGUUUAUUAAGUCUGGUGUAAAAGGCAGUGGCUCAACCAUUGUAUGCAUUGGGAACUGGUAGACUUGAGUGCAGGAGAGGAGAGUGGAAUUCCAUGUGUAGCGGUGAAAUGCGUAGAUAUAUGGAGGAACACCGGUGGCGAAAGCGGCUCUCUGGCCUGUAACUGACACUGAGGCUCGAAAGCGUGGGGAGCAAACAGG